CUGGACACGCGGCCGCCGGUUGGGGCAGCAGGGGAUGAUGUGGUUGUCUGUCACCAGUCCUGGCACCCGACUUAGGUUUAGGUUGGCGAUUUUGGCCACCACUUGGUUGUUCUCCAGUUCAUUGUUAUUGAAGUUGGCCGAGUCGUGGUUGCUCUGGGGAAGGCAAGUGCUGAGACGGGCAGUGCUGAGGCGGGCAGUGGUCAUGGUCUCUGCAAACAUGCUGUCUAGUAUUUGCACUUCGUGGGUGAUUCCAUAGACAUCUAUGAGUGCCCAGAGAGGACCGGAGACUUUAAUACCACAGUGAAACAAUAUCGGCUCCUCGUCAUUAAUACUGUAGAAGAC
rnacentral:lncRNA from 1 species